ACGAUCAGUAGCUGGUCUGAGAGGACGAUCAGCCACACUGGGACUGAGACACGGCCCAGACUCCUACGGGAGGCAGCAGUGGGGGAAUUUUUGGACAAUGGGCGAAAGCCUGAUCCAGCAAUGCCGCGUGUGUGAAGAAGGCCUUCGGGUUGUAAAGUACUUUCAGCGGGGAGGAAGGGAGUAAAGUUAAUACCUUUGCUCAUUGACGUUACCCGCAGAAGAAGCACCGGCUAACUCCGUGCCAGCAGCCGCGGUAAUACGGAGGGUGUCUAAGUCGUU
rnacentral:rRNA from 1 species